CCGCUCCGAGCGAGACCUUCCAAGUUCUAACUGCAAAGCUGCACGCGGCGCCGCCGGCCGUGGCGUAAAACUCGCACUCCACCACACCACGGCGGCGCCAACACCCCCGCCUCCCGGCCUGCACCUUCUCACCGACCACUCAUCGUGCACCUCUGCGCGCUUUACCCCGAUCGACGCACUCCCCGAAUCCUCUAGGGUCGCCCCUACCGCCGCCGCCGCGGCCGGAUCGGCCUCCCGAUUCACGAUUGCCUUCGACGCCAUCGAGAUUCCGGGCCCUACAUGUGACGAUGCGCAUCCCGGCCGUGCAUUAGAUCGCAGCAAAGGGUGGGCGGGCUGCCUGGGCCUGCACGCGUGAUGCGCCCAUCCAGAGUCGUCUGCUCUCACGACGGCGCGCUACGUGUUCGACGAAAUAGGUGAUCAGCCUGCGGUGUAAUUCAGGGCAUGUCGACCAAGUUGAAAGUUGCCCAUCUCUUCUUCUUUUUUUCGAGCAACCGGUGGGAGCGCUGCCUUUUCAAUUAGAAGAAAUGGAGCAAGCAUUUACAUUUGUGAAGCAUACACAUCAUUGGAUAUUCAUCGCUGCCAAAAACAAGAAUAUAGAUAUAGGAAAUAGGAGGCACUGUAGUAGGAUGCGAGAUAAUGAGCACAGUUCUGCGUAGGCCUUCCUAACUCAGGGAAUGAGUCUUCCAGGCCUUCAGUGAUCAUUGACAAUCCAAAGAAGGCAAUAACUGGUAUACUUCUGUUCAACUGUAACUUCCAAUUCCAAGGGACGAGACUGUUUCUCAUGGUACUGGAGAAUCUGGCUGAGUGAUAUAAUGGAUAUCGAACAUAACCCAAGUUACUGGAGACGGGCACACUCAGCAUCACAUCAGUCACUCUACCCAAUUUACCUGACAUGUCUCUUCUUCUGUUUUCUAACUGAGGCUGGAGCGUCUUUAAUCAACCGGCUAUUUGGUUUUCUUGUACGCAUGCGGAACACAACACCGGUUGCUGUAGACGGGCCGCGCUCGCAUCACAUCGGUCGUUCAGGGUGCAUCACAUGGGCGCCUGUCCUGACGGGAGCUCCUGACGGAGCAUGCAUGACCAUUAUAAGCUCAUGUUGAAACUAAUUAAGUUUCUGUUUGCAUGCAGAAGAGAGAAAACGACACUUCCUGAAGACGCAUUGGAUCUAUCACCAACAAUAGCGACAGGCGCGGCAGUGCUGCAGCAGCAACGUCAAAAACGAUACCAUUGGACAUUAAAAGCUUCAACGCAGGACACUCUCAUAUGAUAACCUGCACUGAGACCACUUGCUUAAAAGAAGCGGCGCUAUGCGCCAGGAUGCCAGCAACCUGCUGCAAUAUGAGUCGACUCCAGCAGAUGUGAGCAACAUCUUCUCACUUUCAUGGAGUGGUGCAUAUGCUAAUUCAAUACCGGCCAUGAGACUUCAAAAUAAUUUACACCUCGGUGAGUACUCCAGCCUGACUACUACUCUCUUGUGAAAGAAUUAACUUGAGUCUCGUAUCUGCUACUUCCUCUGAUCCCCCGUAAGUUUCUCAAAUUUAAUACAACUUUGUACUAAAUGUGAGACACUUCUUAUGAAUCAGAGGGAACAGUAAUCUUUUAGAUGAAAGGUAUGCAUCGCUGCACGUCUUUAAAUUAAUAAUUAAUAAAGCCUGAAAUGGCUAAACAGAGUUUUCUCAUACUUCCUCUGUCCAACAAAGGAUGUCUCAAUUUUGACUAAAUUUGAAUGCAUCUAUACACUAUGUCAUGUCUAGUUAUAUCUAAAUUAUGACAAACUUGAGACAUCUUUUGUUGGACGGAGAGAUUAUAUAUUCUCUGCGUAGCCUAAUGGAUAGUCUCCAUUAAUUUUGAGAACAAUCACAUGUAGCAUCGCUGCCUUGUCUGAUCAUUAGACAUUUACAGAAGAUGUGAUAUGAUGAUCCUCCACCAGCCUGACAUCUCGCAUACCUUAUUUAGUGCUAAACUCUAGGAUAGACAACAUGCCGAGGGGCUGGCUAGCUAGCCACUCCACUUAGGCACAUAGCCGUACGUGAUCCAAGCUAGCAGGAUUUGCUUUCGUAUGCUAGCAGUACGAACACCAUCUUGGAUGGGAUCGAGUGUUGGGAAAUAAUUAUAGG